UCAUCAAAGAGACUGUGAGGUAUGUGCUUCUUUGAUAUAUCACAGCCACCUUUGAUGAGC
rnacentral:pre_miRNA from 1 species